ACAUCAGUCGCCGCGGGAAUACGGAGGGUGCAAGCGUUAAUCGGAAUUACUGGGCGUAAAGCGCACGCAGGGGGUUUGUUAAGUCAGAUGUGAAAUCCUCGAGCUUAACUUGGGAACUGCAUUUGAAACUGGCAAGCUAGAGUCUUGUAGAGGGGGGUAGAAUUCCAGGUGUAGCGGUGAAAUGCGUAGAGAUCUGGAGGAAUACCGGUGGCGAAGGCGGCCCCCUGGACAAAGACUGACGCUCAGGUGCGAAAGCGUGGGGAGCAAACAGGAUUAGAUACCCGCGUAGUCCCUGUCUCUUAUAA
rnacentral:rRNA from 1 species